rnacentral:rRNA from 1 species
ACUCAAAUGAAUAGACGGGGGCUCACACAAGCGGUGGAUGAUGUGGCUCAAUUCGAGGCUACGCGAAAAACCUUAUCCUAGUCUUGACAUGCACGGAUUAACCCGGUGAAAGCCGGGCCACGCCUUCGGGUGGAACGUGCACAGGUGCUGCAUGGCUGUCGUCAGCUCGUGUCGUGAGAUGUCGGGUUAAGUCCCUUAACGAGCGAAACCCUUGUCGCUAGUUGCCAGCGAGUCAUGUCGGGGACUCUAGCGAGACCGCCGGUGUUAAACCGGAGGAAGGUGGGGAUGACGUCAAGUCCUCAUGGCCUUUAUGACUAGGGCUGCACACGUCAUACAAUGCUGCGCACAAAGGGAUGCAAACCUGCGAAGGCAAGCAAAUCCCAAAAAACGCAGCCCAGUUCGGAUUGCAGGCUGAAACCCGUCUGCAUGAAGCCGGAAUCGCUAGUAAUCGCGGGUCAGCAUACCGCGGUGAAUGUGUUCCUGAGCCUUGCACACACCGCCCGU